rnacentral:RNase_P_RNA from 1 species
CCGGGUGGCCGGGCGACCGCUGGCCCACAAAGGCUGGAGGAAAGUCCGGGCUCCACGGGAAUGCGGUGCCGGCCAACGGCCGGCGGGCAGAGGGGGAAACCCCGAGGCCCAGGGAAAGUGCCACAGAGAGCAGACCGCCACGGCAGGGGGAGACCUCUCCCGCGGCAAGGGUGAAAGGGUGGGGCAAGAGCCCACCGCGCCCCUGGCGACAGGGGCGGCAUGGCAAACCCCACCGGGAGCAAGGCCGAAUAGGGGCGGCCGGCGUGGCGGGUCACACCGCCGACGCAGGGGCAUUCCCGCCCCGCCGCCCGGGUUGGCCGCGUGAACCCUGCGGCGACGCAGGGUCCAGAGGAAUGGUCGUCCAGCGCCGAAAGGCGCGGACAGAACCCGGCUUACAGGCCACCCGGCGCC